GGAGAGGUGCGUGAGUGGUUGAAACGGCACGCCUGGAAAGUGUGUAGGGCCGCAAGGCUCUCGUGGGUUCGAAUCCCACCCUCUCCG
rnacentral:tRNA from 1 species